rnacentral:lncRNA from 1 species
UAGAAUUUUAAAUUAAUUUAAAUUUUGAAUUGAAAUAUAGAUUUACAAUAGAUAUUCUGAUAAACAUUUGGAUAAGUAUGAAUUUUUUUUUUAUUUUAGAAAUAAAAAAAUAAAAUAAAUUUUGAAUUAAAUAUAGAUUCACGGUAGAUAUUUUUCGGUUGGCAAAAAUUUGGAUAAGUAUUUUUUUUUUUCAUUACGUUACUUAUUUUACAUAAGGAAAGGAAAAUCAAUUUUUUUUCCCGCCAAAAAAUGAGUCUGUCGAGAGACUGAAAUUUGAAAUCCGUGCUCAUAUAUAUAUAUAUAUAUAUAUAGUUGAGUGACGUGUAAAUGUACGUAACAAUUAUUUUAAUCUAUUUUAAAUCAAUAUAAAUUUGCACAUUAUAUUUAUUUAAAAAUUUAUAAUUUAUAAAUUCAUAUGUUAUAUUUUAUUAGUAAAUAUUUGUAAUAUUCUAUAUUUUUUAUUUUUUAUAUACAUUAAAUAUUUUUAUAUAUUUUUUGGAUUUUUGAUGAUUUAAAAUUUAAAUAUGUGUUUAUUGCAUCAAAAUUUAAUUCAUAUUUAUUUUAAAAUUUAAAAUUUAAUUUUGAUCCACUAUAAUUAAAAUUUUUAGAUAAGAAUGCUAUUUUUUAACAGAUUAAUCAUAAAAAAUUUGGAUAAGGAUAAAUAUUUUUCUGUUAUAGAAAUAAAGAGGAAUUAAGAGUUUAUUUAAUUCUCUUAUUUAUUGUAUGCAAGGAAAGAGGAAUCAAUUUUUUUUUUUCUCGUAAUGGGUUUGUCGACAGACGAAAUUUAAAAUACGUGCUUUUAUAUAUAGUAUAGAUAAAAUUUUUGGAUAAGAAUGCAAUUUUUUAACAGAUUAAUCAUAAAAAAUUUAGAUAAGCAUAAAUAUUUUUCUGCUAUAGAAAUAAAGAGAAAUUAAGAGUUUUUUUAAUUCCGUUAUUUAUUUUACGUAAGGAAAAAUGAAUCAAUUUUUUUCCCACCAAAUAAUAGGUCUGUCGACAGACCGAAAUUUGAAAUACAUACUUUAUAUAGAUUAUUACAAAAUAUUUGUAAUAUUCUAUUUUUUUAUUUUUUAUAUACAUUAAAUAUUUGUAUAUAUUUUUUGAUUUCUGAUGAUCUAAAAUUUAAAAAUGUGUUUUAAACAAAAAGCAUCAAAAUUUAAUUCAUAUUUAUUUCAAAAUUUAAAAUUUAAUUUUGAUCCACUAUAAUUAAAAUUUUUGGAUAAGAAUGCUAUUUUUUAACAGAUUAAUCAUAAAAAAUUUGGAUAAGCAUAAAUUGAGGAAUUAAGAGUUUGUUUAAUUAUGUUAUUUAUUUUACACAAGGAAAGAGGAAUCAAUUUUUUUUCCCGCCAAAUAAUAGGUCUGCCGACAUACCAAAAUUUGAAAUACAUGCUUUUAUAUAUAGUAUAGAUAAUCAUAAAAAAUGUGGAUAAGCAUAAAUGGAGGAAUUAAGAGUUUGCUUAAUUAUGUUAUUUAUUUUACGCAAAGAAAGGGGAAUCAAUUUUUUUUCCCGCCAAAUAAUGGGUAUGUCGACAGGGGGAAAUUUGAAAUACGUGCUUUUAUAUAUAGUAUAUAUUUUAAAUCAAUAUAAAAUUUGCAUAUUAUAUUUAUUUAAAAAUUUAUAAUUUAUAAAUUCAUAUGUUAUAUUUUAUGUCAUGCCUCGAAUUACACGUUUUUCCGGGCACGCCAACAGACUCGCCGUAUACAUAGGAAUUUUUCCUAUAUACUAAGCGAUAGCUGCACCUGUAAAUAAAUCAAGCUACAACCAUAAGGUAAUGAGCUGCUAAACUAAAAGCAUAAAUAUAUAAAUAAACC